rnacentral:rRNA from 1 species
UGGGGAAUUUUGGACAAUGGGGGCAACCCUGAUGCAGCGACGCCGCGUGAGCGAUGAAGCCCUUCGGGGCGUAAAGCUCUUUCGACCGGAACGAUAAUGACGGUACCGGGAGAAGAAGCUGCGGCUAACUACGUGCCAGCAGCCGCGGUAAUACGUAGGGGGCAAGCGUUGUCCGGAUUUACUGGGUGUAAAGGGCGCGCAGGCGGGAUAAAAAGUCAGUGGUGAAAUCCUACAGCUUAACUGUAGAACUGCCUUUGAUACUUUUAUUCUUGAGUUCGGGAGAGAGAGACGGAAUUCCAGGUGUAGUGGUGAAAUACGUAGAUAUCUGGAAUAACACCAGUUGCGAAGGCGGUCUCUUGGUCCGACACUGACGCUGAGGCGCGAAAGCGUGGGGAGCAAACA